rnacentral:rRNA from 1 species
GACAGAGGUCCCAAGCGUUGUUCGGAUUCACUGGGCGUAAAGGGUGCGUAGGCGGUAGGGUAAGUCCGACGUGAAAUCUCGCGGCUUAACCACGAAAUUGCGUUGGAAACUAUCCUGCUUGAGGGUUGGAGAGGGGACUGGAAUUCUCGGUGUAGCAGUGAAAUGCGUAGAUAUCGAGAAGAACACCGGUGGCGAAGGCGAGUCCCUGGACAACUCCUGACGCUGAGGCACGAAAGCUAGGGGAGCAAACAGG